rnacentral:rRNA from 1 species
ACNCGGCGUGCUGCAUCAGGCUUCCGCCCAUUGUGCAAUAUUCCCCACCUGCUGCCUCCCGUAGGACGAAUGUCCUACGGAGGCAGCAGUGGGGAAUAUUGGACAAUGGGCGCAAGCCUGAUCCAGCAAUGCCGCGUGAGUGAUGAAGGCCUUAGGGUUGUAAAGCUCUUUUAUCCGGGACGAUAAUGACGGUACCGGAGGAAUAAGCCCCGGCUAACUUCGUGCCAGCAGCCGCGGU